CUACGGGCGGCUCCAGUGGGGAAUAUUGCACAAUGGACGAAAGUCUGAUGCAGCAACGCCGCGUGGAGGAUGACACAUUUCGGUGCGUAAACUCCUUUUAUAUAGGAAGAUAAUGACGGUACUAUAUGAAUAAGCGCCGGCUAACUCCGUGCCAGCAGCCGCGGUAAUACGGAGGGCGCAAGCGUUACUCGGAAUCACUGGGCGUAAAGAGCGUGUAGGCGGAUAGAUAAGUCAGGAGUGAAAUCCUAUGGCUCAACCAUAGAACUGCUCUUGAAACUGUCUAUCUAGAAUAUGGGAGAGGUAGAUGGAAUUUCUGGUGUAGGGGUAAAAUCCGUAGAGAUCAGAAGGAAUACCGAUUGCGAAGGCGAUCUACUGGAACAUUAUUGACGCUGAGACGCGAAAGCGUGGGGAGCAAACAGGAUUAGAUACCCCGGUAGUC
rnacentral:rRNA from 1 species